AAACUUUAGUGUAUCUGUCAUUGCAUCUUCCAUUCCUUUAUUUUUUCAACGCACACAGAAGGUUCUACUUCGUUCCAUUUGACUCUUCCUCCUUCCUCAUCUCUUUCUUUCUUUAUUCCCAAAAUCAAAGACACUCCAUUGAAAAUCUUCCUCCAGUGUUCAAGAUCUGUCUACUUGGAAUUACAUCUCAUUUUAUUAGUGGUUUUCUGUGUUUGUAAAGUAAAGUUGCUUCAACGGCACAGACGAACACUGUUACGACUUAAAGGUAAUUUUGCCUUUGGUUUCACAUUAUUAUUAAAUUACUGAGUUAGUCUAUAUAUCCAAAUUUCAUCAGUUUAUUUAUUUAACAAGAUGUCAGGAGAUUAAGAGUCUAUUUGAUUUAGAUUUAUUAGAGUAAUUAUUUAGUAACUUCCAUGUCAAAAGCCAUCUCAAGGGAGAGAUACCAUCAAUGUGAGUAUAAUUUUUUAGGGAGAGAUACCACCAAUCUGAUUUCUAUAACUGUUUAUCUUCAUAUUUUAUUACUAUUUUUUGGUUUUAAUUAUAUGUGUGCGUGUGUUGUAAGAAUAUAUUAAAUUUUAACUAUGACAAAAAAAAUAAACGGGUUCUAACUGAGUACUUUGAAAUCAGAUGUCUGACAAAAAAAGAAAGACGGAGAACGUCCAAAUGGAAAAAAAUCUUAGACGUCGUAUUGCCUAUAAAGAAAUGCCGCCUGCCCAACAGGCAGGACUUCUAGAACGGCGUCGGGUAGAAUAUGCUGCGAGAAGACAUACUCUCUUAGAAAAUUCUACUCCUAACUGUUCUACUCAGAAAAGCAUGAUUUCAGGAGAACCUGCUCUGUUCAUUCAAGAGACACCUUCUUCUUCUCGAAUUGGUUGGUUAAAUCAAACUUCGUUUUUACUUCGCCGCUCUAUUUAUGUUAGAUCUUACAAAAUUAAAAUAUUUCAGGCCGCAAAUCAACACAGGUAGGUUGUUGGAAUAUCAAUCCACUACCUUCCUAUCCUACUAUUUUAAAAAAGGUCCCAAAAGAUUUCAAUAUGAAGCCCCAAGCUUUUGCUGUAGUAAUGGUUCAGUAAAAUUAGUUUCACACCAACUACCUCCUGAAUUAAAAAGUUUCUACUAUGGAAACUCCGAUAAAUCCAAUCAUUUCCGUACUUAUAUUAGAACAUACAAUAAUAUGUUUGCAUUCACUUCACUUGGAGUAAAGUACGAUAAGGAAUUGGCACAAAGAACUCAAGGAAUCUACACAUUUAAAGUUCAAGGACAAAUGUAUCAUUUUCUUAAUAGCCUCACUACUACAGAUAACAAUGCAAGAAAUUUACAACUUUAUUUUUACGAUAAUGAGAAUGAUAUAGUUAAUAGAAUGGCCUUUUCAGAAAACCUCAAUAGAUCUGUUAUUGCGAAAUUAGUCGAUAUUCUAAAAAUUAAUCCAUACUUCGUUUUUCUAAAAUCUCUAAGACAUAUUCCAGAUUUAUCCAACUUCUACAGUGCACUUAAAUGUGAUUCUGCUUUGGACCAACGAACAUACAACUUACCCAAUGUUUCAGAAGUUGCAGCUAUAUGGAUUGAUGAAAAAUUAGACAACCCUGCUUCUACACCACAUAUUCGUGUUUACACACAUAGUAACACUAACCAACUGGUUCACUAUUACUAUGGUUGUUACGAUGCAUUACAGUAUCCUUUGUUGUUUCCCUAUGGUGAAAAUGGUUGGCAUUGUGGUAUUCAAAGAGUUAUACAAAAAGCAAACUUCCCUAGAAAUUCUUCUUCUUGCAAACAUCAAAACAUUCCAAGUGUAUCCAACAUGUCUUCAAUUGAUGGAUUUCUUGAUAUUGAACAAGAAAUUUUACAGAAAGAAAGACAGAAAAGAACACUGUAUCUUGUCGUGAAUAUUACUAUUACAAACUUCAAAUUAGAGAUGAUGAAGAAAAUGAUACUUUACAUUCUGGGAGAGUAUUCCAACAGUUUUCUGUAGAUCAAUACAUAAAAGUGGAAACACAAAGAUUAGACUUCUUGUUAUUCAAUCAAGAUUUAUUUCGAAUUGAAGUAUUAGCAGGACUCAUUGAUCUUUUAAGACUAGGAGAAAGAGAGGCUUCAAAUAUUGGCAGAAAAACAUUCCUUCCUGCUAGCUUUAUUGGGGGUCCUAGAGAUAUGCGACAUCGAUACAUGGAUGCCAUUAUAUUAGUACAACACUUUGGAAAACCCGAUAUCUUUCUGACCAUGACAUGUAAUCCUUCAUGGACAGAAACAGAAGAUUUCUUACUACCAACUGAUGAAAUACAAAAUAGACCCAAUUUAAUAAGCCGAGUAUUUAAAGCAAAACUAGAAGAACUAAAAUCUGAUAUAGUUAAAAAAACGUAUAUUCGGUAAAGUCGCUGCUUUUAUGUACUCUAUAGAAUUUCAAAAAAGAGGUCUUCCUCAUGCACAUUUCCUUAUUAUACUUGAAGAUGAGUAUAAAUUAUUGACACCUGAGGCUUAUGAUAGAAUUGUUUGUGCCGAACUACCAAAUUCUGAUACAAAUCAAUAUUUACAUUCUUUGGUUAUUAAGCAUAUGAUGCAUGGACCUUGUGGAACUUUAAAUCCUACAAAUUCGUGCAUGAAGAAAAAGGGAUAUUGUAAAUUUAAAUACCCCAAAAGUUAUGCCAAUGAAACAUCCAAAGGUCAAAAUUCAUAUCCAAUAUAUAGGAGACGAGAUACUGGAAAAUUUGUAAAAAUUAGAGCCCAAUAUCUUGACAAUUCAUUGGUAGUUCCUUACAAUCCAUAUCUACUAAGCAAGUUUAAUUGUCACAUAAAUGUUGAAGUUUGUGCAGAUAUUAAAGUUGUUAAAUAUCUCUAUAAAUACAUUUGUAAAGGGCAUGAUAAAAUUGCUUUCAAUCUACAAAGUAAUAACACUAAUAAUACAGACAUAAAUGAAAUAAAGGAAUAUAGAUCAGGCAAAUGGGUAUCACCUCCAGAAGCUAUGUGGCAUUUGUUUGCGUUUCAUAUCAAUGAGAUGAAUCCCAAUGUAUACCAACUUCAGCUACAUCUUAAAAAUCAACAAUUUGUCUCCUUUAAAACGACUACAAAUCUAAAUUCAAUACUUAAAAAUCCUACAACUCGAAGAACAAUGUUGACAGAAUGUUUUUCAAUGAAUGAAAAAAAUAAACAUGCCAUAGAACUUAACUUAUUGUACAAAGAAUUCCCAGAACAUUUUGUUUGGUCGAUGACUGUUAAAAUGUGGUCACGUCGAAGACAAGGUUAUGCUAUUGGACGUAUUAUUAGUUGUCAUCCAACGGAAGGAGAAAGAUACUACCUUCGACUAUUAUUGAUGAACAUACGAGGACCAAAAUCAUAUGAAGAUCUCAAGACUGUAAACGGAAAAUCCUAUAACACAUUUAGAGAAUCUGCAGAAAAAAGAGGAUUGUUAGCUUCUGAUAAUAACUUAAUUGAAUGUAUGUUAGAAGCUUCAAAUUACCAAAUGCCUUAUAGUCUAUGACGUUUAUUUGCUACACUAUUAGUAUAUUGUAGUCCUGCUAAUCCAAAAGAAUUAUGGGAAAGAUUUGAAUGCUCCAUGUCUGAAGCCUUUACAGCUAUGCCAAACAUACAAACAAAAAACAUUCGUUAUUUAGUUCUAAGCCACAUAAAUGAUAUAUUGCAUUCAAUGGGACGGAAUAUCAAUGAAUUUAAACUCACAUCAGAAAAUAUUACACCUUUUACAUCUUCUAGAAUAAUGCAAGAGGCUAGAUACACCCAUUUAGAAAGAAACAUAAUUGUAACUGAAGAAGAUUUAUUACUAUAUAAAAAACUAAAUAAAGAACAAGAACAGGCGUACAUCACCAUACUUAAUAAAAUAUUCUCAAAUGAACCAGGAGCAUUCUUUAUUGAUGGGCCUGGAGGAACAGGAAAAACAUUUUUAUACCGCGCUUUAUUAGCUACUGUACGAUCAAAAGGAUUUAUAGCUUUAGCCACAGCAACUUCUGGUGUUGCAGCUUCAAUACUCGCUGGAGGACGAACUGCCCACUCACGUUUUAAACUUCCUAUUGAUGUAGGUGAAAAUUACUGUUGCAAUAUAAGUAAACAGAGUUCACUUGCAUUUUUAAUUCAAGAUGCAAAGCUAAUAGUAUGGGAUGAGGUAUCGAUGGCUAGGAAAAAACUUGUUGAGACUUUUGAUUCACUCUUGAGAGAUCUUCUGGGUAUAAAUACACUAUUUGGUGGAAAAGUCGUAGUUUUUGGAGGCGAUUUUAGAUAGACUUUACCUGUUGUGAAAAGCGGAACAAAAAAGAAUUUCAUACGUGAAUCUUUAUUAUAUUCAAAUAUCUGGGAUCAUCUUCAAAAAUUCCAUUUGACACAAAAUAUGCGUGCAUGCAAAGAUCCUACAUUUUGUGAGUAUUUACUAAGAAUUGGAGAUGGAAGAGAAGAAGUUAAUGAACAUGAUAAAAUCGAGGUUCCAAAAUCAUUUCUUAUUCCUUUUACGAUGAGAAAGAUUCAUUAAAUAUUUUAUUCAAAACUGUUUAUCCCAAUCUACAGAUGCUCAUGUCUGAUACAUCCUCCGUAACAUCACGUGUUAUCUUAACGACCAAAAAUGAUUUCGUAAACGAAAUUAAUCAGAUGUUCAUAGAUGAAUUUCCCAUAACUGUUGUGACAUUCAUUGGAAUUGAUGAAACUAUAGAGCCAAAAGAUCAAAGCCAAUUUGAAGACUUCCUCCAUACUUUGAAUCCUACUGGUUUGUCUCCUUAUAAGUUAGUUCUAAAGCAAAAUUGUCCAAUUAUACUACUACGCAAUUUAAAUCCUUCUGAUGGUUUAUGCAAUGGUACACGCUUAAUUUGUUCUGAUUUCAAAACUCAUAUUAUUAGUGCUAAAAUUACAAGUGGUGACUUUAAAGGCAAACAUGUUUUUAUUCCUCGAAUACCAUUGUUAUGUUCACAAGACGAAAAAUUGCCUAUUCAAUUUAAAAGAACACGAUUUCCUAUUCGACUAUGUUUUGCUAUGACUAUAAAUAAAGAAGUUCAGACUGUGUAAAAAUAUUAAUCCGAUCCGCAACAGUAGACGAUCCCGAUGAUCAUUUCUACCUACAAUAUAGUAUAUAAUGAAAUUAUCCGUAAAGCAUUCUCUUAGGACUUUCAAAAAGCUACUAACUAUUCAUAUAACAUAUGUAAGUUAUUACUUCCAUUUACAUUUUUCAUCAACCUUACUUCCUUUAUCAUACUAUUCCAUUGUUUAACCCACUUUAAUUAUUUUUCAAGGAGAAGUUAAUUACCAAAUUUUGUCUAGCUAUUCUUGAAAUUCCUGUGGCAUUUGUUCUUUUAACCAAUUUCGUACAUGCAUUGAUUGAAGAAAAGGCGCUAUAGAGAAAGUAAGUCUUCUAUCUUCAACAUAUACUUUGUUCUUUGCUUGCUCCAUCAAUUAAGAAUUCUUUAUUGAAAGUACCAAUGAACAAAUGUUUUUUAUUGUUACUUGGCUGCUAAUCAUAGUUAUUGUAGUUCAGGGGGAGCUUCUACAUCUGCUGAAUUUACUUAUGACACCUCUUUGGCUGCCUUAGAUUCUUACCUUAGUGACCUUGAAGGUAAGUGCAUUACUCAGUUGGCCUGUGAGUGUCUUCUCUUCAAUUACUGAAGCAUGGACCCAACAAGAACUAGAGUUUAAUGAUAGAGUGCUUCCAGAGUAACUUUGCUUCCUUUCCUUAGUUGUAUGAUAACAUUGCAAUGAAGAAGCUGACGACAUAUAUGUCAAAGAAACCAAAAGCAUUUGCUUUGCAUAUUCUACAAAUUUCAACAAUACACUUAAGUGGCAAUUUUUUGCACCUAAUUCUCCCAAAAAGAGGUUGUUCAUUGCCUCAAAGUAGGAUUGGCUCUUUCCCUUGUGUCUGUGUUUUAUUACAUGAGACCUCUGUCUGAAGUUGUUGGAUGGAAUGCUAUGUGGGCUGUUAUGGUAGUUGAAGUAGUAUUUGAGUACACUCUAGGUAAGUAUUCAUAUGUCACACCUAUGUUUCUUUCUUUUAUUUAAUUCAUUGUGCAUAAGACUUUUGAAAAUGUUAUUCACUUCGGAGUCAAAAUUCCAUUACCAUAUGCAGGUUUUACACUUUAUAAGUGUGUAAAUACAGCUAUGGUAGCAUGUCUCGCUGAUACUCUAGGAAUUGAUGUUCACGGGUUGCAACUCAAUCUGAAGAAAGAUUUGAACUUAUUAUUCUCCAAAAAGUAGAUGCAUGUGGUUUGCUCCAAAUUGAUUUGGGCGUGUGAAUCGAACUUCAGGUAUGUCUUCGAUGUCUGCAAAAUAUUUGUUCACCUCUCUUAUAUUUUGUUUAUUGCUCUUCUCUGUGCCUUUGAUUUUCUCCAACAGCUAACAGUGUGAUUAAUGAAAGCUAGAUGAGGGAUAGUGUAUGUAAUACAUCUUUCCUUUCUUGUGUCUGUUUAGGAAUUACAAUUGAUUUCCAUCAUGGAGAUAGAUUGAAAACUAUUCUAGCAAACAAAUUUGGCAGAGAUUUCCCCACUGAUAUAGAAAAUUAGACCUUAUUCUUUUGGGUUGUAGGACAGUAGAAAGGUGCUUAACUUGAAGGUAGUGAAUGUAAUGAGAGCCUAUGGAACUGCUAAAGACAAGUUUCAGCAUCUUUAAGAUCGUCAUCAAAUGAGGCUGAAGAAAUUUGUAAAGCGGUUCUAAUAUCUUUGACAACUUGGGAAAAAAGGCUUAUGAGUUAUGACAACAAAGCUUUAUGGAGUGGUCAAAUUUCAAAAGGCAUGGUGCUUCUUUUUUCCAUAAUGUAAACAGAUUUCCUCAUUGAAAAUGAAGAAUGUACGAUUUCACAAUAUUGUAUACUUUUGUUGCUUAGUGCACGUAAAUAUUAUGAAGUAUUAAAACCUGAAACACGAAAAAUUAUUUUCUUAGUGUUAUGA